rnacentral:rRNA from 1 species
GACGAACGCUGGCGGCGUGCUUAACACAUGCAAGUCGAGCGGAAAGGCCACUUCGGUGGUACUCGAGCGGCGAACGGGUGAGUAACACGUGAGUAAUCUGCCCCUGGCUUUGGGAUAGCCACCGGAAACGGUGAUUAAUACCGGAUACGACCGCUUCUCGCAUGGGAUGGUGGUGGAAAGUUUUUUCGGCCAGGGAUGUGCUCGCGGCCUAUCAGCUUGAUGGUGAGGUAAUGGCCCACCAUGGCUCCGCCGGGUAGCCGGCCGGAGAGGGGGACCGGCCACAGGGGGACGGAGAAACGCCCCAGCCCCCUACGGGAGGAAGCAGGGGGGAAUAUUGGCCAAUGGGCGGAAGCCUGAUCCAGCAACGCCGGGUGGGGGAUGACGGCCUUCGGGUUGAAAACCUCUUCCGGCAGGGACGAAGCGCAAGUGACGGUACCGGCAGAAGAAGCCCCGGCCACCUACGUGCCAGCAGCCGCGGUAA